UCGCUGUCACUGGUGAGCACUGACUGCUCUGGAGAACACUGUCUCUCAAACAUUCCAAGCCAGCUGACAUCCCUCCCACACAGGGCCUCCUUCACUUAAACAAACACAUGCUUACUGAGUAUAUUCACUUUCCAUGGAUGCUGUAGCAAAUAACGGAAAUGUAGUGGCUUAAAAUAACACAAACUUAUUCUGCUAGUUCUGGAGAUCAGAAGUCUGAAAUGAGUCUUAUGAGGCAAAAAUCAAGGUGUCUGCGGGGAUAGUUCCUUCUGGAAGCUUCAGACCGUGAUGUUCCAGGUCAAUAUUUCUAAAUAUUCACGGCUCCUUCCUCAGGAUAAGUGCCUAGGUGUACAAUGGG
rnacentral:lncRNA from 1 species